AUGAACUAUAAUCCAACACUCAAUCAUUUGGGGAAGAAAUCUGAGAUUACUUUCAUAUGCAAUUUCCUGCAUAAUUUGAGAUUGUCCAAGAUAUUUGAUUAUGGAUCUUUGUGCCUGAUCAUCUGUUGGUUACAGAAAGCAAUUGGUUCCCGCCCAUAUUUCAUAUCUCCCAAAACCAAAGUAUUUCCGCAGAGCAAACUAGAAUUGCUGGAUUUAAUGGACCUGUUCUUCAGAUCUGACAAAGAUAAUUUAAUGUUUUAUUUCUGCAGUCAAAGAUUCCAG